rnacentral:rRNA from 1 species
UACGUAGGGGGCAAGCGUUGUCCGGAAUUAUUGGGCGUAAAGCGUGCGCAGGCGGUUAUUUAAGUCAGGUGUGAAAGCCCUGGGCUUAACCUAGGAAUUGCGCUUGAGACUGGAUAGCUUGGAGUGCGGCAGAGGGAGGUGGAAUUCCACGUGUAGCAGUGAAAUGCGUAGAGAUGUGGAGGAACACCGAUGGCGAAGGCAGCCUCCUGGGCCAGCACUGACGCUCAUGCACGAAAGCGUGGGGAGCAAACAGG